rnacentral:rRNA from 1 species
UACAGAGGUGGCAAGCGUUGUUCGGAAUUACUGGGCGUAAAGGGCGCGUAGGCGGCCUUCUAAGUCAGACGUGAAAUCCCCCGGCUUAACCUGGGAACUGCGUCUGAUACUGGGAGGCUAGAGUAUGGGAGAGGGAUGUAGAAUUCCAGGUGUAGCGGUGAAAUGCGUAGAUAUCCGGAGGAACACCGGUGGCGAAGGCGGCUUCCUGGACCGACACUGACGCUGAGGCGCGAAAGCUAGGGGAGCAAACGGG